UACGGGGGGGGCAAGCGUUGUUCGGAAUUACUGGGCGUAAAGGGCGCGUAGGCGGCUUUGUAAGUCCGUUGUGAAAUCCCUCGGCUCAACCGAGGAACUGCGACGGAUACUGCUUGGCUUGAGUCCCGGAGAGGGUAGCGGAAUUCCCAGUGUAGCGGUGAAAUGCGUAGAUAUUGGGAGGAACAUCGGUGGCGAAGGCGGCUACCUGGACGGGUACUGACGCUGAUGCGCGAAAGCUAGGGGAGCAAACAGG
rnacentral:rRNA from 1 species